GUGAGGAAUAUUGGUCAAUGGACGGAAGUCUGAACCAGCCAUGCCGCGUGAAGGAUGAAGGCGUUCUGCGUUGUAAACUUCUUUUAUUUAGGAAGAAACCACCGAUUUCUAUUGGUGUUGACGGUAUUAAAUGAAUAAGCACCGGCUAACUCCGUGCCAGCAGCCGCGGUAAUACGGAGGGUGCGAGCGUUAUCCGGAUUUACUGGGUUUAAAGGGUGCGCAGGCGGUCUUAUAAGUCCGGGGUGAAAUACUACAGCUCAACUGUAGAACUGCCUUGGAUACUAUAGGACUUGAAUCGAGUAUAGGUAAGCGGAAUACAACAUGUAGCGGUGAAAUGCAUAGAUAUGUUGUGGAACACCGAUUGCGAAGGCAGCUGACUGGGCUUGAAUUGACGCUCAGGCACGAAAGCGUGGGUAGCGAACAGGAUUAGAAACCCGUGUAGUCC
rnacentral:rRNA from 1 species